rnacentral:rRNA from 1 species
ACAAGCGGAGGAGCAUGUGGUUAAUCGAUGAUACGCGAGGAACCUUACCUGGGCUCGAACGUAAGAUGACUGUAGGUGAAAGCUUACAUCUCUUCGGAGCAUUUUACGAGGUGCUGCAUGGUUGUCGUCAGCUCGUGCCGUGAGGUGUCGGGUUAAGUCCCAUAACGAGCGCAACCCUACCUUUAGUUGCCAUCAGGUAAUGCUGGGGACUCUAAAGGAACUGCCUACGCAAGUAGUGAGGAAGGCGGGGAUGACGCCAAAUCAGCACGGCCCUUACGUCCAGGGCUACACACGUGCUACAAUGGCCGAUACAGAGGGCAGCUACCUGGUGACAGGAUGCAAAUCUCCAAAGUCGGUCUCAGUUCGGAUCGGAGUCUGCAACCCGACUCCGUGAAGUUGGAUUCGCUAGUAAUCGCGCAUCAGCCAUGGCGCGGUGAAUACGUUCCCGGGCCUU